UAUCGGAACGUGCCCAGUCUGGGGGAGUAACUGCUCGAAAGAGCAGCUAAUACCGCAUACGACCUGAGGGUGAAAGCGGGGGAUCGCAAGACCUCGCGCGAUUGGAGCGGCCGAUAUCAGAUUAGGUAGUUGGUGAGGUAAAGGCUCACCAAGCCGACGAUCUGUAGCUGGUCUGAGAGGACGACCAGCCACACUGGGACUGAGACACGGCCCAG
rnacentral:rRNA from 1 species